UACGUAGGGGGCAAGCGUUGUCCGGAUUUAUUGGGCGUAAAGAGCGUGUAGGCGGCCUGAAAGGUCAGCUGUGAAAACUCGAGGCUCAACCUCGAGACGUCGGUUGAAACCAUCUGGCUAGAGUCCGGAAGAGGAGAGUGGAAUUCCCGGUGUAGCGGUGAAAUGCGUAGAGAUCGGGAGGAACACCAGUGGCGAAGGCGGCCGGCUGGGGGUGACCUGACGCUGAGGCGCGAAAGCGUGGGGAGCAAACAGG
rnacentral:rRNA from 1 species